rnacentral:rRNA from 1 species
UAAUCUUAUCUGGUAAAGCGAAUGAUUAGAGGCCUUAGGAUCGAAACGAUUUUAACCUAUUCUCAAACUUUAAAUGGGUAAGAACCUCACCUUUCUUGAUAUGAAGGUCGAGGUUGUGAUAUAUUGUGCCCAGUGGGCCACUUUUGGUAAGCAGAACUGGCGCUGUGGGAUGAACCAAACGCAAUGUUACGGUGCCCAAAUUAACAACUCAUGCAGAAACCAUGAAAGGCGUUGCUUGCUUAAAACAGCAGGACGGUGGACAUGGAAGUCGUAAUCCGCUAAGGAGUGUGUAACAACUCACCUGCCGAAGCAACUAGCCCUUAAAAUGGAUGGCGCUUAAGUUGUAUACCUAUACAUUGCCGCUAAAGUAGAUGAUUUA